rnacentral:lncRNA from 1 species
UGAAAAUAAAAUGAAAUUGAAUUUUUAAAUAUGUUGUCUCUCAAACCUCAGGAAACACAUGUGUGUGUGUGGAGGGGGGGUGUAAUUAGAAGGUGAGAGAGAAAGAGAGAGACAGAAAUUGCAUGCUGUGUGCAAUAAGGUUCUUCAUUUGGUGUCCUGUAACCAAAUUCUGGCUCUGACCAUCUCUAGCUAUAUAGAUACAAGCCACUUGAGACUCAUUUCUCUUAUCUGUAAAAAGAAAACAAUAAUAUUUGCUCAUCAGUUCUUGGAAUGAAAACACUUUAAAACUCAACAGCACCAAAGAAAUGGAAGUUAAUUUAUUUACCUAAGUUUCUUCUUCAUUGGAAAGACAAAUAUGACAUAAAAAAGAAAAGAGACUAAAGACAUCAGUGACUUCUCUCCUCUCCAUUCCACAGGAGCCUACAAACAUGAAGCUCUUCCUUGUAACUUUCCUAAUGGCUUUCCUGGCUGUCCAGGCUAAAAGAGCUGAUGGCUCAUCUGAAGAGGGAUAUGUUGAAGAAUAUCUUCAGGGUGAUGUGUACCCUGAAUAUUCUGAAGAUGCUGGUUAUCCUGAGAAUCCUGGAUAUGGUCCAAAUCCUGGAAAUUCUGGAUAUCCUGGGAAUCCUGGAUAUGGUUCAAAUCCUGGAAAUCCCCCGUAUUAAGAAAUCCUCAAAAUGCACCCCAAGGAGAACCUCAAUAAACACAGGUAAAGGUUUGCCUGGAAGACUGAUUCAAUCCUUCUAUGGAUCUACAAGUCUACAAAUUCAUGACUCUCUCCAUCUGCCUACUUAGCAGUCUCCAUUAUUGAGCAUGAGAUGGUAGCUCCAAGCUUGUUAUAUUAACACCAAUCAUUCUCCCAAAGGACUAAUGCUCUCCUUUAUACUCUCUAUAUAAUAAACUCAGCUCACGGCGUAUUGGAUGUCUCUUG